UACGUAGGGUGCGAGCGUUAAUCGGAAUUACUGGGCGUAAAGCGUGCGUAGGCGGUUCUCCAAGUCCGUUGUGAAAGCCCCGGGCUCAACCUGGGAAUGGCAGUGGAAACUAGGGGACUGGAAUCUGGCAGAGGGGGGUGGAAUGCCGCGUGUAGCAGUGAAAUGCGUAGAGAUGCGGCGGAACACCGAUGGCGAAGGCAGCCCCCUGGGCUGAGAUUGACGCUCAGGCACGAAAGCGUGGGAAGCAAACAGG
rnacentral:rRNA from 1 species